rnacentral:misc_RNA from 1 species
AACGCAACUUGCGCCACUUGUGGCAUGUCUGUUUGAGUACCGAUUCCAUCUGCAGCAAUGCGAAUUGACCGAGUGGCAUACUGGGUCUAAAUGGAUGUUUCACCAGCAGGGCGACUGCAAAGCCAGAGACGCAAGUCUUGUUUGCACUAGCCCUCUUGAUUCCGGUCUCAAAUCAGGCAAGAUUACCCGCUGAACUUAA